AAAAGUAAUAAUGCUGACUGUUAAAAUAAUGCAUCGAUAGCUCCUCUUUCACAUAUCAAUUGUUUAUUGAUGUCUUCUAUCAUUGUAGUUUAUCUGAAACGUCAGUUACCAUGUAUUCUUAUAAUAUCAUUUGAAAGUCAACUAUUUACGAUGUGUUCAGUCAUGCCAUCUUAUUAUCUUGUUUUGUCAUGUUACUUGACACGUGUAUUGUGAUGUCAUCUUUUAUACCAUAUUUCGUCACAUCACUAUGUUAUGC
rnacentral:lncRNA from 1 species